CCCACCUGUAUAACAAGGGAAUACAUUUCAUGUCUUUACCAUUAGGCGCCCACCUGUAUAACAAGGGAAUACAUUUCAUGUCUUUACCAUUAGGCGCCCACCUGUAUAACAAGGGAAUACAUUUCAUGUCUUUACCAUUAGGCGUCCACCUGUAUAACAAGGGAAUACAUUUCUGUCUUUUCAUUUCUGUUCUAGGUCACCCACCAGUAUAAUGCGGGAAUACAUUUCUGUCUUUUUAUUUUGUUCUAGGUCGCCCACCAGUAUAAUGCGGGAAUACAUUCAUGUUCUAGGUCGCCCACCACUAUAAUGCGGGAAUUC
rnacentral:lncRNA from 1 species